CCUCUGCUUGUAACACUGCAAAAUCUGAGAUCUCAGCAGAUGGCCUGCUGCUGCCUCUACACACAGGUGACACACGAGAGGACAGCCACUCAGUGCUCCGAAACUUUGCCCUCUUGCACAGAGCAACAGUUCCCGGAACUGCAUCCAGCGUGCCUUGAGGAUGAUCAUAGUUGUGGUUUCAGAGAUGCUCCAAUAGCAUUUAUAGAAUACUGUGAAAUUUACAGGUAAGCAUAGGAAUCUAUGCUUAAGAAAAUAUUCGUUUUGGACAAGUGAUCUAUCAGACAGAGUGACAGGAUUUGGAGAUGUGGGAGUGAGUUCAAAUAAUAAAGAAACAUCUCAUUGGGCAUUUU
rnacentral:lncRNA from 1 species